AUUGAACGCUGGCGGCAGGCUUAACACAUGCAAGUCGAGCGGGGGAAGGUAGCUUGCUACCGGACCUAGCGGCGGACGGGUGAGUAAUGCUUAGGAAUCUGCCUAUUAGUGGGGGACAACAUCUCGAAAGGGAUGCUAAUACCGCAUACGUCCUACGGGAGAAAGCAGGGGAUCUUCGGACCUUGCGCUAAUAGAUGAGCCUAAGUCGGAUUAGCUAGUUGGUGGGGUAAAGGCCUACCAAGGCGACGAUCUGUAGCGGGUCUGAGAGGAUGAGCCGCCACACUGGGACGGAGACACGGCCGAGACUCCUACGGGAGGCAGCAGUUGGGAAUAUUGGACAAUGGGGGGAACCCUGAUCCAGCCAUGCCGCGUGUGUGAAGAAGGCCUUAUGGUUGUAAAGCACUUUAAGCGAGGAGGAGGCUACUUUAGUUAAUACCUAGAGAUAGUGGACGUUACUCGCAGAAUAAGCACCAGCUAACUCUGUGCCAGCCGCCGCAGUAA
rnacentral:rRNA from 1 species